rnacentral:rRNA from 1 species
CCUACGGGUGGCAGCAGUGGGGAAUAUUGCGCAAUGGGCGCAAGCCUGACGCAGCGACGCCGCGUGAGGGAUGAAGGUCUUCGGAUCGUAAACCUCUGUCAGCAGGGAAGAACGGUCACUGUGCUAAUCAGCAGUGAAUUGACGGUACCUGCAAAGGAAGCACCGGCUAACUCCGUGCCAGCAGCCGCGGUAAUACGGAGGGUGCGAGCGUUAAUCGGAAUUACUGGGCGUAAAGCGCUCGUAGGCGGUAUGUCAAGUCAAGGGUGAAAUCCCCGCGCUCAACGUGGGAACUGCCUUUGAAACUGGCAAACUGGAGUGUGGGAGAGGAUAGUGGAAUUCCAGGUGUAGGAGUGAAAUGCGUAGAUAUCUGGAGGAACAUCAGUGGCGAAGGCGACUAUCUGGCACAUAACUGACGCUGAGGAGCGAAAGCGUGGGUAGCAAACAGGAUUAGAUACCCCAGUAGUC